rnacentral:tRNA from 1 species
GGGGAGAUUCCAGAGUGGCCAAAUGGGACGGACUGUAAAUCCGUUGCGAAAGCUUCACAGGUUCGAAUCCUGUUCUCCCCACCA